rnacentral:sRNA from 1 species
CAGGGCUGCUCAGGUAAACUUCAACAUUGUCAACGUGCUUAACACUUUAUCUGAUAUUUUAUUCUUCAUAAUGACCCUGAAAUGUAAUGACUUUUAUAAGCCACACCUGGUAAAUGUGAAACUGAAAACUAGAAAUGCUGAGAAACCGCUGUGUUCACAUUGCUGAUAAGAUGAGGGCACUGUAUGAUGACACCCCUUCAGAACCCAUAGCAAGUGGGACAUCAGGAGGUGUUAUGGGACUAAUGGCAAAGAAGACAACUAUGCCGCUUUCGUUGUUUAUUAUUUAUAUCAUCCAGAAAGUCCAAAAUACAUACUCAGUCCAUCUAUUGGUUAGGCCUUUUCUUGUUGCGAAUACCGACUAUGACUAGCUUGAAGGGUUUUUUCUUUAAAAAAAGGAAAACAACAAAAAACAACAACAACAAAAACCUACCUUAGGGUGUCCUAUAGAAUGCAUGGAGGAAUUGAACUUGCAUACUGAAAAGACAGUAAUAAGGGCUUUAAGCCUAAGAAAUUGUCUCUGGCUUUUCCCUCUAGCAGUAUUUCUUACCUGGGCCACAAUUGACAUUUUAAACAGGACACUUUGGUGAAGGGCAGGACCAUCUGUUUCUGAUGCCUGACAUAGGCCUUUGCCCCUGAGUCCCAGUAGUGACCCUAGUCAUUGUGACAACCAAAUAAACAUGCUAAAUAUUUCCAAGUGUCCCACAGGGAGGUGAUGCAACAUCUGCAGUUUGAGAACCUGCCGGAGCAGCCAAGCACAUUACCAUUAUUGUGACUCAGCUCUCAGGACAUUCAGUAUCCACAUAAUCAGUUCUAAAUUUCAGAAUCUCUUGAUUUCCAGUCAAAGGCCAAUUCCUCGGCCGAUCUGGGUGGCCUGGGCCAGGUCAUGCCAUUUUCAGUGUGGUGGCUCCCUUGGUAGCCUUGUCCCACUUGCCAUAGGUUCUGAAGGGGAUGCAGUUCCACAGUAGGUGGGUCUUGUUCAGAUAAAAUUGUAUACAUCCACAACAGUUAAAUUCAUCUAUUUAUUACUUACUAAUUUGGCAUCAAGUAUACGCAAUCUGCUGGCUGCUCUCUUAGGUGAUUUUCUUAUACUUUCUUACUUAAUUCAUGCGACCUGCACCCACAGUAGGUAAUAUGGUCUGUGUUUUGUGGAUGAAAAGUCUGAGACUCAGGAGGGUUCAUUUGACUCAGGAGAUAGAAGUAACUUGACUAGGGAGAUACAUGGUUGAACAGAGUUGAGAGGAAAAAGAAGGGAAAAUAAAAGUGUUUCUGGUUGUCACAGUAUUCAUUUAUGUACUUUUUGUGAAUAAAACACUAACAGAAGUUAAGUGGAAAAAAGAAACCCCUAAAGGUAUAUAAAAGUCAUAUAAAAUGCUUUUUCUUUUUACCUGGAAUGCUGUCAAGUGACCUUUAAUCAAUCAUAUCUUUCUAUGGACUUCAGAUUCUUCUGUAUAAAAUUAGAUGUUUGGAUUGGAUGAUUUCUAAAGCCUCUUAAUUUUUAUCACUUGGGAACUAUUUGACCUAACUUAAGAUGCAAGACAAAUAUGACUAUUUGACUAUCAAAAUUUAUUUUUGCUCCAUUUUUGAAACCUAUUAAAAUAAAUAUAAAUGAAAUAAAAAGGCAUAAAUUUAUGAAGAUCACAAGAAUGGGAGAGUGAGACAACAAUAGGCAAAUGAUGUCUGUAAAAUUUUGGUGCUUGCAAAAUAAAUAGAUAAAUGGUAACGGAGACCAGAGAAAGCAGAACCCUGAGCUGGCAGACGGGGAAGAAUUCAACCAGAAACAUGUUCAUUACUGUGGGAAAACUCGAGAGCGCUCAGGAAUUGUAGGUAGCAAUUACUGUAAAGGUGGAUUUAUGGAUUAGAACUGACAAGAGUAGACUUGGUUGAAAGGUAUAAGAAGUAGUUAGAUCACAAGAUGUUCUCAUCUUAUAAAACCAGGCAUCUGCCCCUCCACACUCUAGCAAAAGACCAGAGGUUUCCUGAAGAGGUUGAAUUGGACAACUGUGAGGCUCCAAGAUACAGACAGAUACAACUGAGGAUGAGGGUGAGAUAUCACACUGAAAAUGAGGGAAUUGUUUCCUUUAAAUAAAAGUGUGCGUGCUUAGUGAUGGGAUUCCCAGUAUUCUGGCAGCUGGGCUUACACCUCCUCUUAAGAGAUUGAGGAGUUUCUCUUCAGGGAAGUGCCUCGCCCAAGUGAAACGAAAUACAGAUACUGAUAUUUCAGUAGCUCUUGAUAAAAUAACUCAGCUGCCAUAUUUGCAAUGAAGACUACUGUUGCCAAGUCCUAUGUAUGAAAACACAACUUCCAGUCAGCAAUCCGGAAUUUUUAAGAACAGAUAGUAGAGGAUUACCAGACAUCUGAGGAAAUCCCAUAAAAGAGAAAGAGACCAGCUCACAAAAUGGGGAAGGGGAGACUCUUGGAAGAAGCAGAUACUUUAAACUCCAAGGCGGGGACAGGCUGCUGUCAUCAAUAUCUUCAGAAAGGAUGAGAAAUUUAAUUGUUUCCACAAAGUAUAACAAAACACCAUAAAGAAGAAACAGCUUUAAGACAGUCCUAUUCGUAAACAUUUGAUAGCAAAAAUGAAGGAAUCAGUAGAUAUAUAGGAAAUGUAUUUAAAUUCUCCAGAAAGUAAAACAGAGAGACACAAAUAAUAAAAGAGAAAUUUAGAGAUAGCAGUCCAUCUCAGGAUGUCCAAUGUCCAAAUAAUAGAAUUUUCAGAAAGAUAAUAAAAGUAAAUGGGGAGCUAGAAUCAGGUGGGAUUGUAUGGGUCAGUACCCAGUCCCAUUCUUGCUCCCCAUUUACUCCACUUUUUCACUCUGUAGUAGUAUUAGACUUUGUAAACUCUGCAAGUAUAACUUUUAUAUUUAAAAAUAUUUUACUGAAAAUGGCAUUUUAACAAGCAAAAAAUAAUUACAUGCAAAGAUUAAAAAUAUAUAUUUGAGUUUUGGUUGAAGACCAAUAAAAUUAAAAGUUGGAAGGAAAAAAUACCACUUAGAUUUUUUAAAGUGCUAAGUACUUAUUUCAGGAAAAUUACUUCAAUUGCCAUAGUUAGGUAAAUUGAGGAACAAUUUUCUCUCAGAAACAGCAGCACAGCAGUGGCAUGGAUCACGGAAGAAGUGGCUGCUAUGUGAGUUUGUAAUCAAGCAUCUUGCCAAGGCGAACAGCUUCCUCCCUGCUGAUUUUCUAUUUGGUAGCAAGAAGUAGUCAUGAUUUACCUUAAUUAUAGCAAGGCUUUUAAAAAUUGUGUGAAAUUCCUGAUUUUUUUUUUGUAUUCAAGAUGUAUGUAUUGAGUGUCUGUUAUCUGGCAAGCAUUGUUUUAAACAGUUUAUUUAUAUUGACUUCUUUAAUCCUUAGAACAGCCCUAUGAAGGUAGGUCUUGUUGUCAUUCCUAUUUUACAGAUGAAGAAACUGAGGUAUAGACAGGUUAGGUAACUUGCCCAGGUUUACUCAGCUGGCAAACAGAAAAGGCUAGGUUUUAAAUCAUGGUAGUCUGGUUACAGAAGGCAUACCCUUAAUUAAUUCACUACUAUUCUGCUUGUUAAGGAACCACAGACAUCUGAGUUUAAAUAAAUUGCCCACAUUCCCAUAGCUAGUUAUUUUAGAAGCAAUGAAUUUUAUUGUAAAGCUUCCAUCAGCCACCGAAUGCUUAAGAACUCAUCUAAGCCAGUCCUCUCAUUGAUUGAAUAACUAGAUCUAAGGGCUGACCAGGUAGAAGAACCAGGUAUUCCACAGUGACCAGUGUAGUGCAUGUUAGAGACACCUGGUGUCAUUUUUUCUCACCUACAUUCUCAUCCUAGAAGUGUUCAUUCAUGGUGAUAUUUAACGUGUGCUGAAACUGUUAGGAUAGCAACCGAGGAAUUCUGGGAAAUUAGCUUCAUUCACAGUUGUGGAAUAUAGCCAUCACUGAAAUAAAUAUAAAGAAAUAUAUCAGGGCUUUUUAUUUUACGUUUAGCCCCGUUUUAUGUGGUUUGUGGGAAACAUCAUAUUUUAAUGCAUGUAGCAGGAGCUUAAAUAUUUGCCAUUAAUCAAUGAUGUGUAGCACACUACAGUGUUUCUUAACAUUCAAGAUUAAUAAGUUACUUUCAGAUAUAAAUGCUACAAAUUUGGUUGUUUAUUUUUCCUAGUUCAACUUUGUGGGGAAACUUUUGGGUCCACGUGGCAAUUCUCUGAAGCGUUUACAAGAAGAAACCUUGACAAAAAUGUCCAUCCUUGGGAAAGGUUCCAUGAGAGACAAGGCCAAGGAAGAAGAGUUGAGGAAAAGUGGAGAAGCGAAGUACUUCCAUCUCAAUGAUGAUCUCCAUGUUCUCAUUGAAGUGUUUGCCCCACCUGCAGAAGCUUAUGCCAGGAUGGGACAUGCUUUGGAAGAAAUCAAAAAGUUCCUCAUCCCUGUUAGUACCAUUUUUCUUGAUAGUUAACUUGUACUUUAAAGUCUUUGCUUUAAUCCUUGAUAAUUCUUGUCUGUAACUGUUAUUUGCAUAGCUCCUUUUCUGCUGUAAAGCUGUAUGGACAUCACCUCAAGUAGACCUUACAGUGUCCCUGUAAAUUACUGGGCAUUAUUCCUUAUGUAUAUAUGAGGUGUUAGAAUUUCAGGAAGAUUUAAUAAUAUGGCCAAGGUUACAUGGCUAAAAAACUUGCAUAGCACAAUCACUAGUUCAGGUUUUGAAACGCUUUUCCUACGAUUUUAUGUGACACUGUACAAUUUUUUUGUUCUCCAACACAAAACCAUUAGUGCCUCUGUGUGCCAUGCACAGUGCUUGGUGUUGGCAUGCAGACUUGAAUAAAAGCAGUCCCUGCCCUCAUUUAGUAUAAUAUAAUACGUAAUUUAGAGGAAAAGAGAAACAUCAACAGAUGAUUUCAGUACAACAUGAUAAAUAUAACAGACAUAACCAUAAUGAGCCCAGAGGGGAUGGGCUAUUUAGCUAGCUUCUGCCAAGUAUUUUGGAUGUUUUGUUAAAAAUUGUCUGUUUUAACCCUUUCAGACACCUUGACAUUGCUAAGGAUGUGACAAUUUAAAGGGAAUACAUCUCUACCUCUGUUACGAAAGUUGAUUUAAGUCUUUUGUGUGAUUUGUAUGCUCUUGAUAAAAGGACUUCUUAUGUCAUUUGCAUGCUCUUGAUAAAAAGAAUCGUAAAGCAUCAACACUUUGGCUCUGCAGACAGUUUAUUUUAGAGAAGCUGACACAUCUGCCAAGUAGUUCUCUGGAUAAGACUGUCUUUGGUUAUCCCAGGUUAGUUUGGUGGAUUGACUUACAUACUACAGCACAUGUACUGUGAUUAUAUUAUCCGUGAGGAAAACAAUUAUUAUAUUUAUAGGGAAAGGAUAUUUAAAUCACUUUUGCCUUUAAAAAGCCAGGACAUAGAAUUGCAUUAAGUAUGUAAUAACCUGGGAACUGAAAUGGCUAGUAUUUUCUUUAGUUCCCAUGAGCAAAUAUGACAAUCUAUUUCUUCUUUUAGUUUAAAAACAAAA